CCUACGGGAGGCAGCAGUAGGGAAUUUUCGGCAAUGGGGGGAACCCUGACCGAGCAACGCCGCGUGAACGAAGAAGUUAUUCGUAAUGUAAAGUUCUUUUAACAGGGAAGAAAGAGAAAUUUGACGGUACCUGAAGAAUAAGCUUCGGCUAACUACGUGCCAGCAGCCGCGGUAAGACGUAGGGAUCGAGCGUUAUCCGGAAUUAUUGGGCGUAAAGGGUGCGUAGAUGGCAUAUUAAGUCUUUUGUAAAAAUGCUGGGCUCAACCCAGUAGGGCAAAAGAUACUGCAAAGCUAGAGUAUGACAGAGGCAAGUGGAACGAGAUGUGUAGCGGUAAAAUGCGUAAAUAUAUGUAAGAACACCAGUGGCGAAGGCGGCUUGCUGGAUCGAUACUGACAUUGAGGCACGAAAGCGUGGGGAGCGAACAGGAUUAGAUACCCUGGUAGUC
rnacentral:rRNA from 1 species